rnacentral:rRNA from 2 species
GAGUUUGAUCAUGGCUCAGGAUGAACGCUGGCGGCGUGCUUAACACAUGCAAGUCGAACGAUGAUCCCAGCUUGCUGGGGGAUUAGUGGCGAACGGGUGAGUAACACGUGAGUAACCUGCCCUUAACUCUGGGAUAAGCCUGGGAAACUGGGUCUAAUACCGGAUAUGACUCCUCAUCGCAUGGUGGGGGGUGGAAAGCUUUUUGUGGUUUUGGAUGGACUCGCGGCCUAUCAGCUUGUUGGUGAGGUAAUGGCUCACCAAGGCGACGACGGGUAGCCGGCCUGAGAGGGUGACCGGCCACACUGGGACUGAGACACGGCCCAGACUCCUACGGGAGGCAGCAGUGGGGAAUAUUGCACAAUGGGCGAAAGCCUGAUGCAGCGACGCCGCGUGAGGGAUGACGGCCUUCGGGUUGUAAACCUCUUUCAGUAGGGAAGAAGCGAAAGUGACGGUACCUGCAGAAGAAGCGCCGGCUAACAACGG